CGAUAGCGAACAAGUACCGCGAGGGAAAGAUGAAAAGGACUUUGAAAAGAGAGUCAAAGAGUGCUUGAAAUUGUAGGGAGGGAAGCGGAUGGGGGCCGGCGAUACGCCCCGGUUGGAUGUGGAACGGCGAGAGCUGGUCCGCCGAUAGGCUUGGGGCGUGGACCGACGCGGGUCGUGGCGGCGGCCCAAGCCCGGGCCAAGCCCGAGCCUUUGAUACGCCCGUGGAGACGUCGUCACCUCGAUCGUGGGAUCCAGCACGGGCCGUCUCGGCGUGCUUCGGCACCUGCGUGCUCCGAGCGUCGGCCUGCGGGCUCCCCUUUCGGCCCGUCUUGAAACACGGACCAAGGAGUCUGACAUGUGUACAAGUCAACGGGCUAGAAAACCCGUAAGACGUAAUGAAGCUGAUUGGCGGGAUCCCUCACGGGUGCACCGCCGACCGACCUUGAUCUUUUGAGAAGGGUUCGAGUGGGAGCAUGCCUGUCGAGACCCGAAAGAUGGUGAACUAUGCCUGAGCGGGGCGAAGCCAGAGGAAACUCUGGUGGA
rnacentral:ncRNA from 1 species